AGGCUUGGUCCUGGCC
rnacentral:rRNA from 1 species